rnacentral:rRNA from 1 species
AUUGAACGCUGGCGGCAGGCCUAACACAUGCAAGUCGAGCGGCAGCGACUUAAUUGAACCUUUCGGGGAACGUUAAGGGCGGCGAGCGGCGGACGGGUGAGUAAUGCCUGGGAAUAUGCCCUGAUGUGGGGGAUAACUAUUGGAAACGAUAGCUAAUACCGCAUAAUCUCUUCGGAGCAAAGAGGGGGACCUUCGGGCCUCUCGCGUCAGGAUUAGCCCAGGUGGGAUUAGCUUGUUGGUGAGGUAAUGGCUCACCAAGGCAACGAUCCCUAGCUGGUCUGAGAGGAUGAUCAGCCACACUGGAACUGAGACACGGUCCAGACUCCUACGGGAGGCAGCAGUGGGGAAUAUUGCACAAUGGGGGAAACCCUGAUGCAGCCAUGCCGCGUGUGUGAAGAAGGCCUUCGGGUCGUAAAGCACUUUCAGUAGGGAGGAAGGUAGUGUAGUUAACACCUGCAUUAUUUGACGUUACCUACAGAAGAAGCACCGGCUAACUCCGUGCCAGCAGCCGCGGUAAUACGGAGGGUGCGAGCGUUAAUCGGAAUUACUGGGCGUAAAGCGCAUGCAGGCGGCCUGUUAAGUCAGAUGUGAAAGCCCGGGGCUUAACCUCGGAAUUGCAUUUGAAACUGGCAGGCUAGAGUCUUGUAGGGGGGGGUAGAAUUUCAGGUGUAGCGGUGAAAUGCGUAGAGAUCUGAAGGAAUACCAGUGGCGAAGGCGGCCCCCUGGACAAAGUCUGACGCUCAGAUGCGAAAGCGUGGGGAGCAAACAGG